CUGCGGAGGGAUCAUUACCGAGUUUUACCUCCCCAAACCCCAAUGUGUCACGUUACCAAUCUGUUGCCUCGGCGGGAUCUCUGCCCCGGUGCGCGUUGCAGCCCCGGAUCCCAUGGCGCCCGCCGGAGGACCAACCAAACUCUUUUUUCUCUCCGUCGCGGCUUCCGUCGCGGCUCUGUUUUAACUUUGCUCUGAGCCUUUCUCGGCGACCUUAGCGGGCGUUUUGAAAAUGAAUCAAAACUUUCAACAACGGAUCUCUUGGUUCUGGCAUUGAUGAAGAACGCAGCGAAAUGCGAUAAGUAAUGUGAAUUGCAGAAUUCAGUGAAUCAUCGAAUCUUUGAACGCACAUUGCGCCCGCCAGUAUUCUGGCGGGCAUGCCUGUCCGAGCGUCAUUUCAACCCUCGAACCCCUCCGGGGGGUCGGCGUUGGGGAUCGGCACGCCCUCACACGGGUGCCGGCCCCGAAAUCCAGUGGCGGUCUCGCCGCAGCCUCUCCUGCGCAGUAGUUUGCACACUCGCACCGGGAGCGCGGCGCGGCCACAGCCGUAAAACACCCCAAACUUCUGAAAUGUUGACCUCGGAUCGGGUAAGGAAUACCCGCUGAACUUAAGCAUAUCAU
rnacentral:rRNA from 1 species